rnacentral:misc_RNA from 1 species
GAUGAAGAACGUAGCGAAAUGCGAUACGUAAUGUGAAUUGCAGAAUUCCGUGAAUCAUCGAAUCUUUGAACGCACAUUGCGCCCCCUGGCAUUCCGGGGGGCAUGCCUGUCCGAGCGUCAUUUCUGCCCUCAAGCACGGCUUGUGUGUUGGGUGUGGUCCCCCCGGGGACCUGCCCGAAAGGCAGCGGCGACGUCCGUCUGGUCCUCGAGCGUAUGGGGCUCUGUCACUCGCUCGGGAAGGACCUGCGGGGGUUGGUCACCACUAUAUUUUACCACGGUUGACCUCGGAUCAGGUAGGAGUUACCCGCUGAACUUAAGCAUAUCAAUAAGCGGAGGA